UAUUUACAUAUCAAAUUCUUUUAAAAUCAUUACAUGUAUAAUUUUCGAUGCACACAAUUAUGUGAGAUGCAUGGUUCAUGUUGACAAACUCUCCUAAUGUCAUAGUUGCCAGUUGUUUUGAAGUUAUGCGGUUUAUUGAAACAGACUUAAAGGACUUAACUCGUUUGCAAAUCUCGUAUUUCUUUUAAAUAAUUGAUAUUCACCGAAGUCAAUUACCCUGUAAUUAUAGAUGACUUGUAAUUGUUUACAAAAACACCUAAGACGACAUUAGCGAUUUUGCAAGUGAAAUCAAAUUUAAAAUACGUUCAAUUCUUUGUAAUGAUACGUCAAGGAAUUCAGUAUUGUGUGGUAGAGGAAGACGAUCGUCAAGCUGACUUUCCAACUCUGAAAUAAGCCUCGAGUAGACGCUUAAAGUGGCUUGAUGGCUUGAUUCAGUUCUUUCCAUAACUGGCGCCUUUGUUGUUUGCUGUGAUCUUUCCGCAUCAUUUGUUUUAGAUAUAGGUAAGGAAGCUAUCUUUGGAGCAGAUUCAGCGACUGUUACAUGUUCAGAGGCAUCAGAUUCCUUUAGGUCGUUUAUACAUGAAACACAAAACAUAGGGUUGUCACGAAGUCGCAUCAUAGGUACCUAGAAUAGUGUUAGAAAAAGGGUAAUAGUAAAAUUGGUUUUGUUUUAAAAACCAAGGUAGCAAAAGCAUUUUGAGAAAAGAAAACUGACUUCCUUAAUAUCAUUCCGUUUGCCAUUGUAUUCACCUGAAGUUUAAACAACGACUAAAUACAAAAUUAAUUACCUUUUCACAUUUCGGACAAAUGGUAUCCAAGAGAGUA